AUGCCUGACAUCACACCUAUUGGUAAGGCUAACCCUAGGCAUACUAUGAUCGUCAUCAACGAACCAAUCAACGCUCCUAAAAUUCCUGCAUUUUCUGGUUCACGAGAGUCGGACCGAAGGAAUAAAGACUUAUUAAAAAACUUUUUUACUCUUCCCUUUUCUUUCAACCAGUUAAGCAAUUUAGUGUAAUGGCCAUCUAUAUAUUUACCCUUAUUUAUUGAAUUGAUUACGCUUGAUGCAGUAAGCCAGAUUUCAGUGUGUUUUUUUUUCUGCUCGAUCAACUCUUUAUAAGCAUUGCGGCUUAAAAUUUCAUCACUACUUUUAAAACUAGUACCUUGAAAUACUUCGCGUAGAGAAUUGUUGAGUAAGUCUAUA